CAGUGAAGGGGGGAAAAGUCAAGUUUAGGUGGUGACAAAGCUCAGCUGGGGAAAGAAUGUGAGUGCCAGGCAGAAAGCUGAGAGAGUAAGGAAAAGCUCUCCAGGCAGGGAGGCUUGGGAGAUCCUGAUGGAAACAAAAAGAGACUGAGACCCAGAGAAGAACUUAAGAUGCUGGGUAGGAAGUAGCUCAGGGAAAACUGAAGUACAGUUGAUUACAUCACCUGAUAUCCUGAGGCAAUCCCACUGUCUUCUCACCAAUGCAAAGAACUGCUAGACGUCUUUGCCAGAGUCUGGGUACCUCAGGAGAGCCUCAUGGAUCAAGGCACCAACUUUACAUCUUGGCUGUUGAAGGAGGCCGACUCUGGAAGGGGACAGACUUUAAAGUGACCUGGCCGGAGAGCCAAGUCACAGGAAGAAACAGACCACCACAGGCCCAGAGCCACCGUCGGGAGGAGAGCCGCUACUUCAUGCAUGGCCAUAAGAAGGAGCUAGUGAUGCCACUUGCUAGUUUUCUGCACAGAAAAACACCAGGAUUUGUGCAUUGCAGAAUUUGAGAGAGAUGCUGCAGAUGUUUCAACUACAGUAGUAGCUGACCUUCGAUAGGAGGACAAUGUACUGUGCCAUCUUCUCUGACUCACUGAGGUACUGAAGGAUCAUUUUUAUAUCCUUCAUAACCAUAUCUUAUUAAUAUACAGUAACUAAGAAUGUUAAUAUGACUCGAAAGCAGAGUGAAUACCUGCAGGCUUGUUACUCUUAUCAGAAUAAUUUAUUGUACAGCCUACUUUACUAUAGUUCUUAGCUACUGUGUAGUAUCAUUACAUACAUGUCAAUGUUUGUGUAAAUAAAUAUUUCUAGGUUUGUUAUGGAAAUGGCUUAUGCUAUGUAUUUGAGAGCAUGGUUUUGAUAGUGUAAGCCCACAGGCCAGUGUUCACACUGAAUCCACUUUUUCUUUCAAUGUCCCACCACUAGAGUGGGAGUCUCUUUAGUUUCUUUUUAUCUGAUGGGAAGAUAGACAAAGGAGCAGAGAAUGAAUAAAGAACUGUAUGUGCUAGGA